UGGGGAAUUUUGCACAAUGGGGGAAACCCUGAUGCAGCGACGCCGCGUGAUUUAGAAGGCCUUCGGGUUGUAAAAAUCUUUUCUAUGGGAAGAAAAUGACAGUACCAUAGGAAUAAGGACCGGCUAAUUACGUGCCAGCAGCCGCGGUAAUACGUAAGGUCCGAGCGUUGUCCGGAAUCAUUGGGCGUAAAGGGUACGUAGGCGGGUAAGCAAGUUAGAAGUGAAAUCCUAUAGCUCAACUAUAGUAAGCUUUUAAAACUGCUCAUCUUGGGGUAUGGAAGGGAAAGUGGAAUUCCUAGUGGGGCGGUGAAAUGCGGAGAUAUUAGGGGGAAUACCGGUGGCGAAGGCGACUUUCUGGCCAUAACCUGACGCUGAGGUACGAAAGCGUGGGUAGCAAACAGG
rnacentral:rRNA from 1 species